AUCUAACGGCCAAAGUGGUUUUGGAAAAAAAACGCACAGAAGACACCUACCCCCACCAGCGGAGUUCCGGAGCCCUCGCAGCCUCCUGUUGACCGCUCCCGCCUAAUGGAGCCGCUGACCGCCCACUCCCCCGGCCAGGACUCCCCAGGGACAGGGACGUGUCCCCAGGGCAGGCCCCUGGAUGGACGCGGCGACUGACCCCACUCCGCUGGAUGCUGUGCUGGGAAGGACACAGAGAGGUGGCUGGGGCAGCCUGCGGUCACAAAGCGAGGCCCAAAGGGGCGUUCUCCUCACCCCUGCGCCUCCUGGGUGCCGGCCUGCACCCUCUCCCUUCGCCGCCGGACUGGGGCCAUCUGGGGUGUCUCGGGGGUAUCCGGAGGGCUAAGCACCGCCGAGGGACGGCUCCGAAGGAAGAGUUUUCUGGACCCAGAAGGCAGACGCCAGUAGUAUUGUCCUAGGAGUCGGAGGUCGGGGUGGGGGAGUUCUUAGCUCUUUGGGUCGCACGGAGCUUUUCUUGGGGAAGCCCGUCAGCCUGAGCUACAGAUGCCCAUGCCGAUUCUUCGAAAGCCAUGUUGCCAGAGCCAACGUCAAGCAUCUCAAAAUUCUUAACACUCCAAACUGUGCCCUUCAGAUUGUAGCCCGGCUGAAGAACAACAACAGACAAGUGUGCAUUGACCCGAAGCUAAAGUGGAUUCAGGAGUACCUGGAGAAAGCUUUAAACAAGUAAGCACAACAGCCAAAAAGGACUUUCCGCUAGACCCACUCGAGGAAAACUAAAACCUUGUGAGAGAUGAAAGGGCAAA
rnacentral:sRNA from 1 species